GGUGAGUUUAGCAGGAAAGGGAGGAAAAGUCUCUUGACUGCAAAUGGGGCUAAAGCAGGCUUAUCUUAAGGUGCAUCCGAUACUUUUCUCAGGUCUGGGAUAACUCGACUCAGAGGAUGAUGCUUCUUCCAUAAUGUUCCCAUUCUGUCACUUUAUCUGUCCAAUAAGAAUAACCAAGCAUGGCUGUAGAAAAAUGUGCAACAUGGAGGGGCUCCCUGUUGGCUCUGGUAAAUAAGUUGGCCCGGCUUCAGUCUGUUUGGGGCUAGGCAUACCCAUGUCACAGUCGAUAUGUCACAUGAAGACUGCAGCUGUUUUGAUCUGAAUCAAUCAAGUUUGCUAUAGUUCAGAUUGUGGCCCUGCUGGGAAACGCUUGCUGUUUUUAUUUUUAUUUUUUUAUUAUCGACACGCGCAUGCAUCUUGCCGGUAAAAUAUAUGCCCUUGUCGUUACUUGUUAGUUUCGGCGCCAUGUUUGAUGCAAAAAAGAAAAAAGGAAAAAUAGAUGGGGCCUGCUACGCAUCCAUCGGUGG
rnacentral:lncRNA from 1 species